rnacentral:rRNA from 1 species
AUUGAACGCUGGCGGCAGGCUUAACACAUGCAAGUCGAGCGGGGGAAGGUAGCUUGCUACUGGACCUAGCGGCGGACGGGUGAGUAAUGCUUAGGAAUCUGCCUAUUAGUGGGGGACAACAUCUCGAAAGGGAUGCUAAUACCGCAUACGUCCUACGGGAGAAAGCAGGGGAUCUUCGGACCUUGCGCUAAUAGAUGAGCCUAAGUCGGAUUAGCUAGUUGGUGGGGUAAAGGCCUACCAAGGCGACGAUCUGUAGCGGGUCUGAGAGGAUGAUCCGCCACACUGGGACUGAGGCACGGCCCAGACUCCUACGGGAGGCAGCAGUGGGGAAGAUUGGACAAUGGGGGGAACCCUGAUCCAGCCAUGCCGCGUGUGUGAAGAAGGCCUUAUGGUUGUAAAGCACUUUAAGCGAGGAGGAGGCUACUCUAGUUAAUACCUAGGGAUAGUGGACGUUACUCGCAGAAUAAGCACCGGCUAACUCUGUGCCAGCCGCCGCCGUAA